rnacentral:rRNA from 1 species
CNCCNCGUGAGGGAUGACGGCCUUCGGGUUGUAAACCUCUUUCAGCAGGGAAGAAGCGAGAGUGACGGUACCUGCAGAAGAAGCGCCGGCUAACUACGUGCCAGCAGCCGCGGUAAUACGUAGGGCGCAAGCGUUGUCCGGAAUUAUUGGGCGUAAAGAGCUCGUAGGCGGCUUGUCGCGUCGGUUGUGAAAGCCCGGGGCUUUAACCCCGGGUCUUGCAGUCGAUACGGGCAGGCUAGAGUUUCGGUAGGGGAGAUCGGAAUUCCUGGUGUAGCGGUGAAAUGCGCAGAAUNUCAGGAGGAACACCGGUGGCGAAGGCGGAUCUCUGGGCCCGAUACNUGACGCNUGAGGAGCGAAAAGCCGUGGGGAGCGAACAGGACUUAGAAUACCCNUGGUAGUUCAAGGG